AGAGUUAAACAGUGCGUGAAAUUGUUGAAAGGGAAACGUUUGACACCAGUCAUGUGGGUGGAAAAUCAGUCUUUUGCAUUGGGGAGUUGUAAGGGUUCGGACCGCAAGGCCGGCUUUUGCUUCAUCUUUGGUGUAAGUGAUGCACUUUUUCAUCUACAGGUCAACAUCGGUUUCGUCUUGAAGUAAAAAACCAGGUGGAAGGUAGCUGCUCUCUUCGGAGUGUGGUGUUAUAGACAUCUGGCGAUGCUUUGAGCGAGACCGAGGAAUGCAGUGCAGUCUUGGGGAACCAUUCGCUAAUUUGAGGUGUUGGCUGAACAGCUUGCUGAUCAGUCGAUUCCCUUGAGUUAAUCGGGCGGUGUACCACACCUGUGCUUAGGAUGUUGACAAAAUGGUUUUAAACGACC
rnacentral:rRNA from 1 species